rnacentral:rRNA from 1 species
GACAGAGGGUGCAAACGUUGUUCGGAAUUACUGGGCGUAAAGCGCGUGUAGGCAGCCUCGCAAGUCGGGUGUGAAAUCUUGGAGCUUAACUCCGAAACUGCAUUCGAUACUGCCGUGCUUGAGGACUGGAGAGGAGACUGGAAUUUACGGUGUAGCGGUGAAAUGCGUAGAUAUCGUAAGGAAGACCAGUGGCGAAGGCGGGUCUCUGGACAGUUCCUGACGCUGAGGCACGAAGGCCAGGGGAGCAAACGGG